rnacentral:lncRNA from 1 species
CGAGUGGACCGCUUGCUUGUUGUGGCGCCAGAUAGGAGUAUGGAAAUGGGAAGUGAAGAAGAAAAAUGGGAGAAGCUAGAUGCAGAAUUUGAUCACUUCGUGGUAGAUAUGAAACCCUUUGUUCUAAAAUUACCCCACAGGUCAGAACGGCAGAGGUGUGCUCUUUGGAUCAGAAAGCUGUGUGAGCCCUCAGGAACAGGAGCAGGACUCAUGGGCAGGAAGAAUCGAAACCUGUAUGCAAAGCUGCUACUGCAUAUGCUUAGGCGAGGGGUCCUUGAAGGCCCUUUCACACACCGCCCUGAGCCAGGGACACUGAAAGUCUUACCAUCAUACAUGUCCAUCUAUUUUGAUGAGCCAAAUUCAGCACAAUCAAAAGAUUCAAGCCCGGAGAAGCUGCCUGACUGGGUGAUGGGUGAGCUGGAGCCGGGCGAGCGGAGAUUGAGUGACUCAUGGCAGCUUUCUUGUGGAGAAGAGAACGCACUGCUGCUGUCGGCAAGUGACGCCCACAGAGAACAGUACACUGGAAAGCUCCGAAUGAGGUCCCAUUCUGUGAGUCCAACUGAUAGAGAAGACAGACAACACAUUACUUCAAAGAUCUGUGAAGUUCAUCCAAAAAAGUCUCCUAUUUCUUUGGAUGACAGUGACAUUGAAGUUCGCUUGAACAGUUGGAAUCUUGGGAUUGAAAAUCCCCGGUACCUGAGACAGAAGCCUCUUCCAGUUUCUCUGAUGACUCCAAAGGUCAGCCUGAGGAACUCUAGCAAUCUACAUGAUGAUCAUUUUCUCUCUCGAAUGCACGAGAAAGAGUUGGACAUGAAGACAAAAAUGAUGGAAGCGAAGUUCUCUGAAGAGAAACUUAAGCUGCAGAAGAAGCAUGAUGCCGAGGUGCAGAAGAUUUUAGAAAGAAAGAAUAAUGAAUUAGAAGAGUUGAAAAUCUUAUACAAAAAGAAACAAACUGAAACCGAGGAGACUGUGCGAAAGCUUGAGAAGAAAGAUCCUUAUACGUGACUGUCAAGUUAUCAGAGAAACUAAAGAGAAUCAGAUAACCGAGCUGAAGAAGAUAUGUGAGCAGAGCACAGAAUCUCUGAAUAAUGACUGGGAAAAAAAGCUUCACAGUGCUGUAGCGGAAAUGGAAAAGGAAAAAUUUGAGCUUCAAAAGCACCACACGGAGACUAUUCAGGAAUUGCUGGAGGACACAAAUGUGCGCCUGAGUAAAAUGGAGGGGGACUACAUGGUGCAGACGCAGUCCACAAACCACAUGAUCAAAGACCUGGAGGGCCGUGUGCAGCAGCUGAUGGGAGAAGCCGAGAACAGCAAUCUACAGAGGCAGAAACUGACCCAAGAAAAAUUGGAGCUGGAAAGAUGCUACCAGAUAACAUGUAGUGAAUUACAGGAGUUAAAGACAAGGCAAAACUUACUACAUACAGAGAAAGAACAUCUUGUAAAUGACUAUGAGCAAAAUGUGAAGUUACUAAAAACCAAAUACGAUUCUGACAUUAACAUCCUGCGACAAGAGCAUGCACUUUCCACUUCUAAGACAUCUGUUGUGAUUGAAGAGCUAGAACAGAACAUCCGUCAAUUAAAACAGCAGGUCCAGGAAUCGGAGCUUCAGAGGAAACAGCAAGUAAAAGAUCAAGAAGAUAAAUUUCACAUGGAGAAAAACCACUUAAAAUACAUCUACGAGGAAAAGGUUCAUGAAUUGAAGAGUGAACUUGAUAAAGAGAAAGAAGAUGCUCAGAGGAAGAUCCAUAAAUUUGAGGAAGCUUUGAAGGAGAAGGAGGAGCAGCUCGGCCGAGUGACUGAGGUUCAGAGGUUGCAAGCCCAGCAGGCAGACGCUGCCCUGGAGGAGUUUAAGCGGCAGGUGGAGGUGACCUCCGAGAAGGUCUACAGUGACAUGAAAGAGCAGAUGGAAAAGGUGGAAGCAGACCUAAGCAGGUCCAAGUCUCUGCGUGAGAAGCAGUCCAAGGAGUUUCUGUGGCAGCUGGAGGACGCCAGGCAGAGAUACGAGCAGCAGGUUGGCCUUUCGCUUUCAUGAUACCAGUUAAUUUUUAAUAUGACUAUAACUCCUCUUUUAAUCAUCUCUCUAUCACAGAAAUCUCUGUAAAAUAUAAGCAUGACCAUUGAUAUAUUUGAAAAUUUUAAAAUAAUAAUUGUAUUAAAACCCAGACAGAAGAGUUUUUAAUAUUCUUCUGAAGGCUAUCUUGAUGGUUUGUUAUUCUGAACAUUUAAUUGAAAACUAAUAAAGUUAGUUUAAAAAUCAC